rnacentral:rRNA from 1 species
GUGGACUCUCAAACGUGAGGUAAGAGCAUUUGGUGGAUGCCUUGGCAUGCACAGGCGAUGAAGGACGUGGCACGCUGCGAUAAGCGUCGGUGAGGUGUGAGCAACCUUUGACCCGACGAUUUCCGAAUGGGGAAACCCAUCCUUACCAUUUAAUCCUUGUCCCGGACUUGAUCCGGGAUCUGGGUUAAAUGGGAAAGGAUAUUACCUUGGUGAAUAAAAUAGCCUUGGUAAAGCGAACCCGGAGAACUGAAACAUCUCAGUACCCGGAGGAAAAGACAUCAACCGAGAUUCCGUUAGUAGUGGCGAGCGAACGCGGACCAGGCCAAUGCCUGGUGUUUAAUUAGCAGAAGCCUCUGGAAAGUGGCGCCAUAGCGGGUGACAGCCCCGUAUGCGAAAAUAGGACAUCAGGAUUCGAGUAGGGCGGGGCACGUGAAACCCUGUCUGAACAUGGGGGGACCACCCUCCAAGCCUAAAUACUCGUGCAUGACCGAUAGCGAACUAGUACCGUGAGGGAAAGGUGAAAAGCACCCCGAUGAGGGGAGUGAAACAGUACCUGAAACCGAAUGCUUACAAGCAGUUGGAGCCUCUUUAUGGGGUGACAGCGUACCUCUUGCAUAAUGGGUCUGUGACUUAGUGUAUCAAGCAAGCUUAAGCCGAUAGGUGUAGGCGCAGCGAAAGCGAGUCUUAAUAGGGCGACAGAGUUUGAUGCAUUAGACCCGAAACCCGGCGAUCUAGGCAUGACCAGGUUGAAGGUGGGGUAACACCCACUGGAGGACCGAACCGUUUAAUGUUGAAAAAUUAUCGGAUGAGUUGUGUUUAGGGGUGAAAGGCCAAUCAAGCCGGGAAAUAGCUGGUUCUCCGCGAAAUCUAUUGAGGUAGAGCCUUGGAUGAAUACCGUUGGGGGUAGAGCACUGGAUGGAUGCGGGGGUCGCGAGAUCUACCAACUCUAACCAAACUCCGAAUACCAACGAGUACUGUCCAGGAGACAGACGGCGGGUGCUAAGGUCCGUCGUCAAAAGGGAAACAGCCCUGACCUACAGCUAAGGUCCCCAAGUCACGUCUAAGUGGGAAAGCAUGUGGGAUCUCCAAAACAACCAGGAGGUUGGCUUAGAAGCAGCCAUCCUUUAAAGAAAGCGUAACAGCUCACUGGUCUAGAUAAGAGAUCCUGCGGCGAAGAUGUAACGGGGCUCAAGACGUGCACCGAAGCUUAGGGUGUGGAUUUAUCCACGCGGUAGCGGAGCGUUCCGUAAGCCUGUGAAGCCGAAGGGUAACCGACGGUGGAGGUAUCGGAAGUGCGAAUGCAGACAUGAGUAGCGAUAAAGAGGGUGAGAUGCCCUCUCGCCGAAAGACCAAGGGUUCCUGCUUAAAGCUAAUCUGAGCAGGGUGAGCCGGCCCUAAGACGAGCCCGAAGGGGGUAGUCGAUGGGAACCACGUUAAUAUUCGUGGGCCUGGUGGUGUGUGACGGAUCUCGUAUGUUGUACGUCCUUAACGGAUUGGACGUGCUUCGAAGAGGUUCCAGGAAAUAGCCCCACCGUAUAGACCGUACCCGAAACCGACACAGGUGGUCUGGUAGAGUAUACCAAGGCGCUUGAGAGAAGUGUACUGAAGGAACUCGGCAAAUUGCCUCCGUACCUUCGGAAGAAGGAGGCCCCACAUCAAGGCAACUUUUUGUGGGGGGCACAGGCCAGGGGGUAGCGACUGUUUAGCAAAAACACAGGGCUCUGCUAAGUCGGCUUCAAGACGACGUAUAGGGCCUGACGCCUGCCCGGUGCCUGAAGGUUAAGUGGAGGGGUGCAAGCUCCGAAAUGAAGCCCAGGUAAACGGCGGCCGUAACUAUAACGGUCCUAAGGUAGCGAAAUUCCUUGUCGGGUAAGUUCCGACCUGCACGAAUGGCGUAACGACUUCCCCACUGUCUCCAGUACAUGCUCAGCGAAAUUGAAUUCUCCGUGAAGAUGCGGAGUACCCGCGGUUAGACGGAAAGACCCCGUGCACCUUUACUGCAGCUUCAGAGUGGCAUUAGGAAAGAAUUGUGUAGCAUAGGUGGGAGGCUUUGAAGCCGGGGCGCCAGCCCUGGUGGAGCCAUAGGUGAAAUACCACCCUGUUGUUUUCUGAUGUCUAACCCAGCACCGUUAUCCGGUGCGGGGACCCUCUGUGGCGGGUAGUUUGACUGGGGCGGUCGCCUCCUAAAGAGUAACGGAGGCGCG